rnacentral:rRNA from 3 species
GGUGACUAUAGCAUCAGGGUUCCACCUCUUCCCAUUCCGAACAGAGAAGUUAAGCCUGAUCACGCCGAUGGUACUGCGUAACAGUGGGAGAGUAGGUAGUCGCCG